rnacentral:rRNA from 1 species
ACGAACGCUGGCGGCGUGCUUAACACAUGCAAGUCGAGCGGAAAGGCCCUUCGGGGUACUCGAGCGGCGAACGGGUGAGUAACACGUGAGUAAUCUGCCCUGCGCUCUGGGAUAGCCACCGGAAACGGUGAUUAAUACCGGAUAUGACCGGCUCCUGCAUGGGGGUUGGUGGAAAGUUUUUCGGCGUGGGAUGUGCUCGCGGCCUAUCAGCUUGUUGGUGAGGUAAUGGCUCACCAAGGCUUUGACGGGUAGCCGGCCUGAGAGGGUGACCGGUCACACUGGGACUGAGACACGGCCCAGACUCCUACGGGAGGCAGCAGUGGGGAAUAUUGGACAAUGGGCGGAAGCCUGAUCCAGCAACGCCGCGUGAGGGAUGACGGCCUUCGGGUUGUAAACCUCUUUCACCGAUGACGAAGCGAAAGUGACGGUAGUCGGAGAAGAAGGACCGGCCAACUACGU